rnacentral:rRNA from 1 species
GACAUGGCUCAGGAUGAACGCUAGCGACAGGCUUAACACAUGCAAGUCGAGGGGCAGCGAGGGAGUGGCAACACUUCUGUCGGCGACCGGCGCACGGGUGAGUAACGCGUAUGCAACCUGCCCUUCACAGGGGGAUAACCGGGAGAAAUUCCGACUAAUACCGCAUACGUCCUCCGGGGGCGAUCCCUGGGGGAUGAAAGAAUUAUCGGUGAAGGAUGGGCAUGCGUGAUAUUAGGUAGUUGGCGGGG